AAGUUAUUUCAAAGAGAGACUGUGGGAUUCUGAAACCAAGAGCUCUUAACACAAGGUUUCAAAAUUGAAGAUCUGGCACCAAA
rnacentral:snoRNA from 1 species